rnacentral:misc_RNA from 2 species
AACGCAAAUUGCGCUCGAGGCCUCGGCCGAGAGCAUGUCUGCCUCAGCGUCGUGCCCCAUCAUCUCCAACCUUAACGGGUGCGGAGGAUCUGGUCGUUUCGAGGGGUUCUCCUCGAAUCGGCCGAAAUGCAGACGGCCUCCUCGCUUGGAGCUUCGCAAGGUAGUUGUCUUCAUCGACAUCCCUCAAUCGGAGCACACUGGCGUGGGAGUGCUGUGAUCAGCCGGAAAAGCUAACCUAAGCAUUCGACCUGAGUUCAGGCAAGAGCACCCGCUGAACUUAA